rnacentral:rRNA from 1 species
GGGGGGGGGGGGGGGGGGGGGGGGGGGGGGGGGGGGGGGGGGGGGGGGGGGGCGGGGGGGGGGGUGGGGCGGCGGGCGGGGGGGUGAUGCCUGGGAGUCUGCCUGGUAGUGGGGGAGAGCGUCCGGGAGCGGGCGCUAAUACCGCAUGCGUCCUGAGGGGGAAAGUGGGGGAUCUUCGGACCUCACGCUAUCAGAUGAGCCUAGGUCGGAUUAGCUAGUUGGGGGGGUAAAGGCCUACCAAGGCGACGAUCCGUAACUGGUCUGAAAGGAUGAUCAGUCACACUGGAACUGAGACACGGUCCAGACUCCUACGGGAGGCAGCAGUGGGGAAUAUUGGACAAUGGGCGAAAGCCUGAUCCAGCCAUGCCGCGUGUGUGAAGAAGGUCUUCGGAUUGUAAAGCACUUUAAGUUGGGAGGAAGGGCAGUAAGUUAAUACCUUGCUGUUUUGACGUUACCAACAGAAUAAGCACCGACUAACUUCGUG